rnacentral:rRNA from 1 species
UACAGAGGAUGCAAGCGUUAUCCGGAAUGAUUGGGCGUAAAGCGUGCGCAGGCGGUUCUAUAAGACAGAUGUGAAAUCCCCGGGCUCAACCUGGGAACUGCAUUUGUGACUGUAGAGCUGGAGUACGGCAGAGGGGGAUGGAAUUCCGCGUGUAGCAGUGAAAUGCGUAGAUAUGCGGAGGAACACCGAUGGCGAAGGCAAUCCCCUGGGCCUGUACUGACGCUCAUGCACGAAAGCGUGGGGAGCAAACAGG